rnacentral:misc_RNA from 1 species
AUUAAGCAAUUGCCGUCAUUCAAUCCGAUUGUAUUUAUUCGAGAUUUGUGAUAAUGGGCUUAGGCUCGAGGCGACAACCAGUCGCCGAACGUAGCCACGGUCAAGGGAUGAACGCUUUGUCUAACAAAGGCAUGGAAUAAUUCUAUAGCUAUCCUUAAAAGAAAUAGUUGUAGCGGCACGCGACAGUAAACAUUCCAACGGUUUCUGUCCCGUGGCUCGCCACACGCAGACUCUACCCUUCGGGUAAGAUGAUUGCCAGAUGUCAACGCAUCUCCACAGUAUAUGUUUAGCUAGCCUGAGGGCCCGUUAUAAAACUUAAGACUUAGUUAACUAAAGUCCUUCAAGUAGACAAAUAGUCUUUGUCCCAACUACGGGAAGAUAAG